CGGCUGAUUCCCGAUCCGAUUAUCGGAUUUUUGAAACCCUGGGUUGAACUGUUCCCGCUCCGGAGGCAACAAAACAAUGUUCUCAACCCCACGGAGACACGGAGUUGAGGGUUGGCAUCCGUGAACGCGGGACUCGUCGUCUCUGUCUCUUUCUCCUCCUCUACCCGCUCCUGCAGAUAUGCUCAAGAAAUGAAGCAAUUAUAUUGAGGACGAGUCAACCAACUUGAUCAUUAUGAAUCAGCACUCUAGCACAGAAGAUCAUAAGCGGAAUCAGAACCUUCAAACAUCUGGUCCUUUAAAAGCUCUCAUAUAAGAAGACAGAGAAAUGCUGUCAAACUGGAUCUCAAAAGCUGGUAAGAGCAAAACUGAAUUGACUGAUUAUGAGUUUACUUGUAAAACGAAGUUCAGCAUAAAUUUUUAUUUAUUUA